rnacentral:rRNA from 1 species
UACAGAGGUGGCAAGCGUUGUUCGGAAUUACUGGGCGUAAAGGGCGAGUAGGUGGCCAUCUAAGUCAGACGUGAAAUCCCCCGGCUUAACCUGGGAACUGCGUCUGAUACUGGACGGCUAGAGUAUGGGAGAGGGAUGUAGAAUUCCAGGUGUAGCGGUGAAAUGCGUAGAUAUCUGGAGGAACACCGAUGGCGAAGGCGGCAUCCUGGACCGGUAUUGACGCUGAUGCGCGAAAGCCAGGGGAGCAAACGGG